rnacentral:miRNA from 1 species
CUUUGAUUCACCAGGGUCCUUGUUAAGAUGCAGGUUCUGAUUCAGUAGGUCUAGGUUGGAACCUGAGAUUCUGCAUUUUUUAACAAGGUCCUGGGUGUAGGUGGU